rnacentral:rRNA from 1 species
GUGGGGAAUCUUCCGCAAUGGACGAAAGUCUGACGGAGCAACGCCGCGUGAGUGAUGAAGGAUUUCGGUCUGUAAAGCUCUGUUGUUUAUGACGAACGUGCAGUGUGUGAACAAUGCAUUGCAAUGACGGUAGUAAACGAGGAAGCCACGGCUAACUACGUGCCAGCAGCCGCGGUAAUACGUAGGUGGCGAGCGUUGUCCGGAAUUAUUGGGCGUAAAGAGCAUGUAGGCGGCUUAAUAAGUCGAGCGUGAAAAUGCGGGGCUCAACCCCGUAUGGCGCUGGAAACUGUUAGGCUUGAGUGCAGGAGAGGAAAGGGGAAUUCCCAGUGUAGCGGUGAAAUGCGUAGAUAUUGGGAGGAACACCAGUGGCGAAGGCGCCUUUCUGGACUGUGUCUGACGCUGAGAUGCGAAAGCCAGGGUAGCGAACGGGAUUAGAUACCCCAGUAGUCC